GACGAACGCUGGCGGCGUGCUUAACACAUGCAAGUCGAACGGAAAGGCCCUGCUUGCAGGGUACUCGAGUGGCGAACGGGUGAGUAACACGUGGGUGAUCUGCCCUGCACUUCGGGAUAAGCCUGGGAAACUGGGUCUAAUACCGGAUAGGAGCCAUUUUUAGUGUGAUGGUUGGAAAGUUUUUUCGGUGUAGGAUGAGCUCGCGGCCUAUCAGCUUGUUGGUGGGGUAAUGGCCUACCAAGGCGGCGACGGGUAGCCGGCCUGAGAGGGUGGACGGCCACAUUGGGACUGAGAUACGGCCCAGACUCCUACGGGAGGCAGCAGUGGGGAAUAUUGCACAAGGGGCGCAAGCCUGAUGCAGCGACGCCGCGGGGGGGAUGACGGCCUUCGGGUUGUAAACUCCGUUCGCUAGGGACAAAGCUUUUUGUGACGGUACCUAGAUAAGAAGCACCGGCUAACUACGUG
rnacentral:rRNA from 1 species